rnacentral:rRNA from 1 species
UACGGAGGGUGCAAGCGUUAUCCGGAUUCACUGGGUUUAAAGGGUGCGUAGGUGGGUCUGUAAGUCAGUGGUGAAAUCUCCGAGCUUAACUCGGAAACUGCCAUUGAUACUAUAGAUCUUGAAUUAUCUGGAGGUUAGCGGAAUAUGUCAUGUAGCGGUGAAAUGCGUAGAUAUCUGGAGGAACACCGGUGGCGAAAGCGCGAGACUGGGCCAUAACUGACGCUGAGGAACGAAAGCCAGGGGAGCGAAAGGG